UGAAAAGUUGGGGGAGCAAAACUGGAUUAGAUACNCGGGUAGUCCCAGCUGUAAACGAUGCAGACUCGGUGAUGCACUGGCUUUUGGCCAGUGCAGUGCCGCAGGGAAGCCGUUAAGUUUGCCGCCUGGGAAGUACGUACGCAAGUAUGAAACUUAAAGGAAUUGGCGGGGGAGCACCACAAGGGGUGAAGCCUGCGGUUACAAUUGGAUUCAACGCCGGGA
rnacentral:rRNA from 1 species